UGUCCAGAAAAAGGAGGCAAUCAAAGGCUGCAUUUCAGGGCUCAAGCCAAGCAGCCGGUUGUCGGAGGUCCGAGAAUCGUCAAUUGCAUCAGUGUGACCACUACCAGAAUGCGGCCGGCGGCGCGGUGACCUGAGGUCACAACGGAUCGUGGGCGGAUCACGCAGCUGGCGUGGCGAGUGGCCCUGGCAGGUGUCGCUGCACCAGCGUAACCCUCAUACGGGACAGCUGCUGAGCCAGCACUGCGGCGGUACCCUGAUCGACCCCGGCUGGGUGCUCACCGCCGCCCACUGCAUUGUCGACCCACUCUUUGGAUUCACCAUCCCUCCUGUAUUCUGGAUAGUCAAGAUGGGACACAUCGAGCUCAACGACAAAACACCACCGAUGCUGGCGGGCGUCUCAAAGAUCAUCACUCAUAAG
rnacentral:lncRNA from 1 species